UACUGGCAAUUGUUUUUCGUUGUGGUCCUCAAAAAUACGCAGGUCGCAGUCAUCAUAGGUGUCGAGAAAUUACCCUUUGUGACAAUCGGAAAAAUCAGUUUCUCCUCACUCUAUGGGAGGAUUUCGGAGAAAUAGAAGGACAUGAAAUUGCCUCUAAAAUGGCAACAGAGGCAGAUCUGAUUGUAAUUCUCGGAAGGAGUAUAGGAAUCUCUACUUUUCAAGGGUUGUCACUGCAUA